rnacentral:rRNA from 1 species
CCUACGGGGGGCAGCAGUGGGGAAUAUUGGACAAUGGGGGGAACCCUGAUCCAGCCAUGCCGCGUGUGUGAAGAAGGCCCUCGGGUUGUAAAGCACUUUCAGUGAGGAAGAACGCCUGGUGGUUAAUACCCAUCAGGAAAGACAUCACUCACAGAAGAAGCACCGGCUAACUCCGUGCCAGCAGCCGCGGUAAUACGGAGGGUGCGAGCGUUAAUCGGAAUUACUGGGCGUAAAGCUCGCGUAGGUGGCUUGAUAAGCCGGUUGUGAAAGCCCCGGGCUCAACCUGGGAACGGCAUCCGGAACUGUCAAGCUAGAGUGCAGGAGAGGAAGGUAGAAUUCCCGGUGUAGCGGUGAAAUGCGUAGAGAUCGGGAGGAAUACCAGUGGCGAAGGCGGCCUUCUGGACUGACACUGACACUGAGGUGCGAAAGCGUGGGUAGCAAACAGGAUUAGAUACCCUUGUAGUC